GUUGGGAUCAGGGAUCUGUAAAGACCCGCCUGGCGUUCGGCUGUCUUCGGCGAGUGCACUUUCCUCGGGUAGAGUGCCACGACCGGUUUCUGGGCGGUCACAAGCCAGUCGGGAAGGUGACUUCCUCCUCGGAGGAAGUGUUAUAGCCCGGCCAGGUCGACUGUUCUGAGACCGAGGAUUUGCCGCGUCUCACCUGCUCUCGGCCCUCUGCUCUGCGUUCGACUGGGGAAGCACUGCGUGCAGUUCUCUCCGACCGCGUGGGUGGAUUGGUUGGGAAGCACGAGGCGCUGCGGGUCAGUGGCGAAUCGGUCGGUCCUCCACCCGACCCGUCUUGAAACACGGACCAAGGAGUCUAACAUGUGCGCGAGUCAUGGGGUUCUGUACGAAACCUAAAGGCGCAAUGAAAGUGAAGGUCAACCUCCGGUCGGCCUAGGUAGGAUCCCCGUCGAGGGGCGCACUACCGGCCCGUCUCGACCACGUCGUUGGUGGGGCGGAGCAAGAGCGUACACGUUGGGACCCGAAAGAUGGUGAACUAUGCCUGAGUAGGACGAAGCCAGAGGAAACUCUGGUGGAGGUCCGUAGCGAUUCUGACGUGCAAAUC
rnacentral:rRNA from 1 species